GAACACAAAAUGGCGACACGUGGUUAGCAUUCGUCGCCAACGAGAAAUUGGGGUCGGCCCGAAAGCUCUAGAAUGCACCCCUCUUCCUCCCCGGGGCCUUCCACCUCCGCGAGUUUUAUGACUUAAAAAAGCCCACAGGCUGGUCUGAAGGUCGGAGGCCUAAUUUUAACGCGUUUUCCUCCCUUUAAUUUGAAACGGGAACGCGAAUGACUGUAAAAUAGGAAGACAAACAUAAAGAUGAAGUGCUUAAUUCAAGGUCACACAAUGUCGGGGAUGGACCUCCAGAUUUCCUUACUGACCUGCAUUAUCUUGUGGAUACCUGAGUGAAUUCCACACCACCCAUUUUAUAGAUGAAACCACUGAGACAUGGAGCAAUUGACUGAGUAGUCACUGCCCCACCCCUGCCUGGAGCCUCACACAUGACUCGCCUCCUCUCAGUGACCACAGGUUGGUUGAGGGGUUUAACAAGGCUAAGAAGUACUUAUCCUGUAUUACAUGAAGGAAAUGAAAUAAAAAGACUGCAGCCCCACUCCCAGCUACUCAGUGAGGUGGUAGCUAGAGACGGAGUCUUGCUAUGUUGCCCAGGCUGGUCUUGAACUCCUCACCUCAAGCGAUCCUCCCGUCUUGGCCUCCCAAGUGUCAGGAUUACGGGCAUGUGCUAUCACACCCAACCUGAUACAUUGCCUUUAUAAAUUUUUUUUUCUUUAUUCUAAAAACCAGAAAAAACAAAACUGGAUACAUGUGCAGAACAUGCAGACCAAGUGUGUUGGGGACUUGAGAUGCGUACAUGAGUGUGAUGUUUCCUGCUGAAAGCACAGGUGAGACGUGGUCUUGUAACACAGUGGUUAAGAAUGUGACUUUGGAGCCAGCCUGCUAGGGGCUGAAUUCUGACUCAGCCAUUUACUAACUGUGUGACCUUAGGGAGGAGGACCUGGUUGAUAGAAGAAUUUAUCUCGUAGUCUUAACAUCCACUGUAAUUCCAAACUUUGAGGACGAUAGAGAUCAGUGGGCUUUGACUGCCCAGCAUGCAGUCUCCAUU
rnacentral:lncRNA from 10 species